rnacentral:lncRNA from 1 species
ACGAAUUUUCUUUCAUACUAUGUGAAGUCAAAUAUAUUGUUCUCAUUAAAUACUUUUGCUAUCAUCAAAACUCUAAGUAUAAAACCAACUUGGUUCCAACAAAAUUUACAUCCCAAAGGAAGAGGAAAUCUACAGUCAAAAGGUACAAAUGGACAUAUCAUACAUGGACAUAUCAAAUAUGGACUACAAGACCAUACUUACUAACACAUUCCAACUAUCUCUAGUUGAACGUAAGUGGUAAGAAAAGUCAUAAAAAGAUUCGACAAACCGAGGGAGCCAACCUGUUCAAUACCUCGACUAUAGCUUUCUAAACGUCUCUAGGGAACACAUAUUAGCCGAGUGCGCCUAACGCAAAAUUUAGAGAAAGGGGAAUCCAAUUCCCUUGAUAGGUCAUUCUAAGGUAAGGGGUCAACAAAAGCAAGUAUUGUUGCUUCCACAAGUGCAAUGGGCAUAACAUGAUUAGAAAUUAUCCAAUAUCAGUUCUAAUCGAGAGAAAACUAGAGGACAUGACAUCUAAAAACCUGCACAACAUCACGAUUAGCAAGGAGGGGUCUUGACUCCCUUUAUAUUUUUACGAUAAAUAAAUCAUUGGGGGGAUACUAAACUCCCAAAUCCUACUGCUUGUACAAGUAUGUAUGGCCAAGAAGUUUGCAGGGUCCUAAUCGACCAAGGGAGUUCAUGCGACAUCUUGUACUCGGGGUUGUUCGACACACUCCAUCUCACCAAAGAAAAUAGGCUACCAUAUGUAGGACCCGGUUUACAAAGCUUAUGUCAAGUUACUUGUAACUUUCGGAGAAGACAAAUCUAGGAAGAUCGUCAAGACCCAAUUCUUAGUUAUCGAUUGCAAGUCGAUCUGCAACUACAUUAUCGGUCAUCCAACCAUGGCAAAGUUAGGUGCGAUCUCUUCCAUUAUCCCUUUUAAGCUCAAGUACCACCAGAAAUAUAGAAAGGGAGUGAUUGUGGAAGCUGACAUCAAAGCAACGAGAAGAUAUUUCAUAGCCAACCGCAAAAGUUGGGAAAAAUGCACGAAAUUUGCAUAGUCAGACAAAAAGGGAAGCCAAGUCCUCACUGUUACCAAUCAACGAGACUGACAGGUUGCAGAUAGAAGACGAUGUCGCGUCUAUUCGCAAGCCAAUUAAAAGGCCAAUACCGGCUGAAGAAUUUACCUUGAUCCCGAUAUGAGACAUCUCAGGAAGAACCAUAAGAGUAUGCCGACAUCUUCGCAUCGACUGCUAACAAGAUGCUCGACAUAGAUCUUGAAGUUGCUUGUCACAAGCUAACUGUGCACCCAUAUGCUUGAUCAAUUGUCCAACACCGUCGCAAACAAACUUUAGAGAAGGCUGAAGCCGCUAAAAAGGUUGUUUCUAACUUACUCGCUGCAAAUUUUAUUUCUGAUGCUAAGUAUACCGCUAUGCUCUCCAAUGUUGUACUCAUUAAAAAAAAUAUAAUAAUAAAUGACAUGUUUAUGUUGACUAUAGUGAUCUCAAUAAAGUGUGUCCCAAAGAUGUGUAUCCGCUUCCCAAUAUUGAUACCUUAGUCGACAAGUCAUCUAGGUUCAAAUUACUUUUGUUUAUGGAUGCUUAUUCAGGAGACAAGAAGAAGAUGAGUUCGACAUUCAAAUCCUCCAUUCAACCGCAGUUUCAAAAGUGAAAAGGUAAAAGAGAGAACCACUGUACCACUAAACAAAGAGCAUAACAUAGCAACAGAGCGUUGCUGGUAGCCACUACAACGUGAAUUUAGAAUCCUCGAACUUACGAUUGCUCCUAAUAUAAUGAUACACUUCCUCAAAUAAUCCACAAUCGAAAUAGGAAUACAACACUCACCAAGAAACGUCACAAUCGUGGAGGAACAACUCACCACCGUAGGACCACAACAACCACCACGGUAGCCAUGAACGACCACAAAAUAGAAAAACUCAAAAAAGCAGGAAAUAAGGUAAAGAAAAAUGGUAAGACGACUUACUGAGUUGUAAUAGAGCUAAAAGGUUAUAAAGAUAAUGAAAGUAGGCGACUGUCGCGGCCUAAAAUUUCGAGUUUUCAUCGAAUUCAAUGGAGUCGCCACCAAAAUUUAUUUUAAAAUAGGGAAAAUAUUGGAAAACCCUUAAAAAUGUAAAAAUGGUCUUUGAAACCAGAUUUUGAGUUCGGGAGUCGAUUAUGGGUAGGGAAGGUAUUAGCACCCUACGACAUCCGUUAAAAUACGGUUACCUUUAAUUAAUUGUGUAAAAUUAUAUCAACUUAAAUAUAUUUAUUUUUCUUUAUUAUUAAAUAUGAAUAUAAAUUGUUUUUUAUAAAUGUGAUUUUUUGAGAUAAAAGUGUGUUAAAAAAGAGUGGAAAAAAAGAAAGUUUUUAUUAGUGUGCUUGACAAGAGUGUGAUCUUGCUCCUACGUAUCUCCCUGUGCGAUGGAGAAAUCAAAGCUACGUAGUUCUUGGAAGAAAAUGUGGAUGUGUUGAUUGCUUUUAAAUAAAUUGUAUUUUUUGUUAUUUUCUUUUAAAACAAAUUAAUUUUGACAAGCAUAAAGAAAUAAACUUGCCCGAUUUGAAUAAUUAUCUUAAAAUAUGAAUUUUAAGACGAUCGAAUUGUACAACUCGUGUCUCAAAAU